CCUACGGGAGGCAGCAGUGGGGAAUAUUGGACAAUGGGGGCAACCCUGAUCCAGCCAUGCCGCGUGUGUGAAGAAGGCCCUCGGGUUGUAAAGCACUUUCAGUGAGGAAGAACGCCUGGUGGUUAAUACCCAUCAGGAAAGACAUCACUCACAGAAGAAGCACCGGCUAACUCCGUGCCAGCAGCCGCGGUAAUACGGAGGGUGCGAGCGUUAAUCGGAAUUACUGGGCGUAAAGCGCGCGUAGGUGGCUUGAUAAGCCGGUUGUGAAAGCCCCGGGCUCAACCUGGGAACGGCAUCCGGAACUGUCAAGCUAGAGAGCAGGAGAGGAAGGUAGAAUUCCCGGUGUAGCGGUGAAAUGCGUAGAGAUCGGGAGGAAUACCAGUGGCGAAGGCGGCCUUCUGGACUGACACUGACACUGAGGUGCGAAAGCGUGGGUAGCAAACAGGAUUAGAUACCCUAGUAGUC
rnacentral:rRNA from 1 species